rnacentral:rRNA from 1 species
GACGAACGCUGGCGGCGUGCCUAAUACAUGCAAGUCGAGCGCAGGAAGCCGUCUGAACCCUUCGGGGGGACGACGGUGGAAUGAGCGGCGGACGGGUGAGUACACGUAAAGAACCUGCCCAUAGGCCUGGGAUAACCACGAGAAAUCGGGGCUAAUACCGGAUGUGUCAUCGGACCGCAUGGUCCGCUGAUGAAAGGCGCUCCGGCGUCGCCCAUGGAUGGCUUUGCGGUGCAUUAGCUAGUUGGUGGGGUAACGGCCCACCAAGGCGGCGAUGCAUAGCCGGCCUGAGAGGGUGAUCGGCCACACUGGGACUGAGACACGGCCCAGACUCCUACGGGAGGCAGCAGUAGGGAAUCUUCCACAAUGGACGAAAGUCUGAUGGAGCAACGCCGCGUGAACGAUGAAGGCUUUCGGGUCGUAAAGUUCUGUUGUAGGGGAAGAACAAGUGCCGCAGGCAAUGGCGGCACCUUGACUGUACCUUGCGAGAAAGCCACGGCUAACUACGUGCCAGCCGCCGCGGUAACAC